rnacentral:rRNA from 1 species
AGAGUUUGAUCCUGGCUCAGAUUGAACGCUGGCGGUAUGCUUAACACAUGCAAGUCGAACGGAAACGAAACUAGCUUGCUAGUUGGCGUCGAGUGGCGGACGGGUGAGUAACGCGUAGGAAUCUACCUAGUAGUGGGGGAUAGCCCGAAGAAAUUCGGAUUAAUACCGCAUAAUCUAUUCGUAGUAAAGUGGGGGACUUUCGAGCCUCACGCUAUUAGAUGAGCCUGCGUAAGAUUAGCUUGUUGGUAGGGUAAAAGCCUACCAAGGCUACGAUCUUUAGCUGGUCUGAGAGGAUGAUCAGCCACAUCGGGACUGAGACACGGCCCGAACUCCUACGGGAGGCAGCAGUGGGGAAUAUUGGACAAUGGGGGCAACCCUGAUCCAGCAAUACCGCGUGUGUGAAGAAGGCCUGAGGGUUGUAAAGCACUUUCAAUUGUGAAGAAAAGUUAACGGUUAAUAACCGUUAGCCUUGACGUUAACUUUAGAAGAAGCACCGGCUAACUCCGUGCCAGCAGCCGCGGUAAUACGGAGGGUGCAAGCGUUAAUCGGAAUUACUGGGCGUAAAGCGUGCGUAGGCGGUUUAUUAAGUCAGAUGUGAAAGCCCCGGGCUUAACCUGGGAACUGCAUUUGAAACUGGUCAACUAGAGUAUGGUAGAGGAAAGUGGAAUUUCUGGUGUAGCGGUGAAAUGCGUAGAUAUCAGAAGGAACAUCAAUGGCGAAGGCAGCUUUCUGGACCAAUACUGACGCUGAGGUACGAAAGCGUGGGGAGCGAACCGGAUUAGAUACCCGGGUAGUCCACGCUGUAAACGAUGAUUGCUAGGUUUUCGGGGCAUCGACCCCUCGUGAGCCGAAGUUAACGCGUUAAGCAAUCCGCCUGAGUAGUACGGCCGCAAGGCUAAAACUCAAAGGAAUUGACGGGGGACCGCACAAGCAGCGGAGCGUGUGGUUUAAUUCGAUGGUAAGCGAAGAACCUUACCAGGGUUUGACAUGUAAGUAGUACUGAACCGAAAGGGGAUGGACCCGCAAGGGAGCUUACACAGGUGUUGCAUGGUUGUCGUCAGCUCGUGCCGUGAGGUGUUGGGUUAAGUCCCGCAACGAGCGCAACCCUCUUCGUUAGUUGCACUCUCUAACGAUACUGCCCUUAAAAGGGAGGAAGGUGGGGAUGACGUCAAAUCAUCAUGGCUCUUACACCCUGGGCUACACACACGCUACAAUGGCAAGUACAGACGGUCGCCAACCCGCGAGGGGGAGCUAAUCCGAUAAAACUUGUCUCAGUUGGGAUUGCAGGCUGAAAUUCGCCUGCAUGAACGUGGAGUUGCUAGUAAACGCAGGUCAGCACACUGCGUUGAAUACGUUCCCGGUCCUUGUACACACCGCCCGUCACAUCAUGGAAGUUGGUAACACUUGAAGUCGUUGCGCUAACCCUUUGGGAGGCAGACGCCGAGAGUGGGACUGAUGACUGGGAUGAAGUCGUAACAAGGUAACC